AAGACUAUACUUUCAGGGAUCAUUUCUAUAGUAUCUAACUGGAGAAAUGUGUUUCUAAAGUGUUUGGUCUCGCUAACCAUGAUGAAGAGUCGUGAUACUCCUUCCUGAGCGGGAAGCGGACAACAGAUAAUGAUUCAGUUCAUACGUCUGUUGUCAUUGAUGACCGUUCCUUACUUCCUCGUGGAGUAAUGAGGGUUGGGGUAUGAUCAGAGUGGU